rnacentral:rRNA from 1 species
UACGUAGGUCCCGAGCGUUGUCCGGAUUUAUUGGGCGUAAGGCGAGCGCAGGUGGUUUAUUAAGUCUGGUGUAAAAGGCAGUGGCUCAACCAUUGUAUGCAUUGGAAACUGGUAGGCUCGAGUGCAGGAGAGGAGAGUGGAAUUCCAUGUGUAGCGGUGAAAUGCGUAGAUAUAUGGAGGAACACCGGUGGCGAAAGCGACUCUCUGGCCUGUAACUGACACUGAGGCUCGAAAGCGUGGGGAGCAAACAGG